rnacentral:rRNA from 1 species
CAGAGGGUGUGAACGUUGCUCGGAAUUACUGGGUGUAAAGCGCGUGCAGGUGGUUUCGUAAGUUCGGUGUGAAAGCCCCAGGCUCAACCUGGGAAGUGCACUGAAUACUGCGAGACUUGAGUUCUGAAGAGGAGAGUGGAAUUCCCGGUGUAGAGGUGAAAUUCGUAGAUAUCGGGAGGAACACCAGUGGCGCAAGCGACUCUCUGGGCAGAAACUGACACUAAAACGCGAAAGCGUGGGGAGCAAACAGGAUUAGAUACCCUGGUAGUCCACGCUGUAAACGAUGAGAACUGGGUGUUGCGGGUAUUGACCCCCGCGGUGCCGAAGCCAACGCGUUAAGUUCUCCACCUGGGAAGUACGGCCGCAAGGCUA